rnacentral:rRNA from 2 species
ACGGGGUGCAGCAGGCGCGAAACCUUUGCAAUGUGCGCAAGCACGACAAGGUUAAUCCGAGUGUUUCCUGCUAAAGGAAUCUUUUGUUAGUCGUAAAACCACUGAUGAAUAAGGGGUGGGCAAGUUCUGGUGUCAGCCGCCGCGGUAAAACCAGCACCUCAAGUGGUCAGGAGGAUUAUUGGGCCUAAAGCAUCCGUAGCCGGCUCUGCAAGUUUUCGGUUAAAUCCAUUUGCUUAACAAAUGGGCUGCCGAAAAUACCACAUAGCUAGGGAGUGGGAGAGGUAGACGGUAUUCGGUAGGAAGGGGUAAAAUCCUUUGAUCUAUUGAGGACCACCUAUGGCGAAGGCAGUCUACCAGAACACGUUCGACGGUGAGGGAUGAAAGCUGGGGGAGCAAACCGGAUUAGAUACCCGGGUAGUCCCAGCUGUAAACGAUGCAGACUCGGUGAUGCGCUGGCUUGUGGCCAGUGCAGUGCCGCAGGGAAGCCGUUAAGUUUGCCGCCUGGGAAGUACGUACGCAAGUAUGGAACUUAAAGGACUUGGCGGGGGAGCAC